CCAAAUGUGCAACAAAAUGAAGACUUCCUAAGAGCAGCGCGGCUAAAGAAAAAGGAAGUUCAAUCCAAAAAUUUAAGGAGGAAAAAAUCUUGGCUUGAUAAGUUGCUUAAGGGAAAACGCAAGGCAACUAGACCUGUUGUUUCUACCCAAAGAGGAGCAAAGCAAUCGAAGAAAAAAGAUGAUGUACAGCCUCAAGUUCAAGUGGAGGAUGAUAGCCGCAAGAAAGAAGACAAUGUGGACAAUGAAAAGUACAAUGUCAUCGAGAGUUUUACCCAACUCCUCACAACUCCUACUUGUGAUGGUGGUAGUUUUUAUGAUGAAAAUUUGUUCUAGUGUCUAGAUGUUGGUAGCUAACUAUUGUCUUUUGGGGCCUAAGUGUACAAGUAGUGAGGCCUAAGUGUAUUUUGGGGUGCUAAUUAUAGUCUUUUGUUCAGUACCACUUGUAGCUACAAAAUCUGAAUGAUAUGCAUCAGACUUCCAAUGUUAAGUGCUUGGAAAGUUGUGAGCCA